GACGUAGGAGGCGAGCGUUGUCCGGAUUCAUUGGGCGUAAAGAGCUCGUAGGCGGCUUGUCGCGUCGAAUGUGAAAACUCGGGGCUCAACUCCGAGCUUGCAUUCGAUACGGGCAGGCUAGAGUUCGGUAGGGGAGACUGGAAUUCCUGGUGUAGCGGUGAAAUGCGCAGAUAUCAGGAGGAACACCGGUGGCGAAGGCGGGUCUCUGGGCCGAUACUGACGCUGAGGAGCGAAAGCGUGGGGAGCGAACAGG
rnacentral:rRNA from 1 species